rnacentral:rRNA from 1 species
AUUGAACGCUGGCGGCAGGCCUAACACAUGCAAGUCGAGCGGAUGAAGGGAGCUUGCUCCUGGAUUCAGCGGCGGACGGGUGAGUAAUGCCUAGGAAUCUGCCUGGUAGUGGGGGAUAACGUCCGGAAACGGGCGCUAAUACCGCAUACGUCCUGAGGGAGAAAGUGGGGGAUCUUCGGACCUCACGCUAUCAGAUGAGCCUAGGUCGGAUUAGCUAGUUGGUGGGGUAAAGGCCUACCAAGGCGACGAUCCGUAACGGGUCUGAGAGGAUGAUCAGUCACACUGGAACUGGGACACGGUCCAGACUCCUACGGGAGGCAGCAGUGGGGAAUAUUGGACAAUGGGCGAAAGCCUGAUCCAGCCAUGCCGCGUGUGUGAAGAAGGUCUUCGGAUUGUAAAGCACUUUAAGUUGGGAGGAAGGGCAGUAAGUUAAUACCUUGCUGUUUUGACGUUACCAACAGAAUAAGCACCGGCUAACUUCGUG